rnacentral:rRNA from 1 species
CCUACGGGAGGCAGCAGUGAGGAAUAUUGGUCAAUGGGCGCGAGCCUGAACCAGCCAAGUCGCGUGAAGGAUGACUGCCCUACGGGUUGUAAACUUCUUUUAUAAAGGAAUAAAGUGAGGCACGUGUGCCUUUUUGUAUGUACUUUAUGAAUAAGGCUCGGCUGACCCCGUUCCCGCAGGCGCGGUAAUACGGAGGAUCCGAGCGUUUUGCGGAUUUAUUGGGUUUAAAGGGAGCGUAGAUGGGUUGUUAAGUCAGUUGUGAAAGUUUGCGGCUCAACCGUAAAAUUGCAAUUGAUACUGGCAGCCUUGAGUACAGGUGAGGUAGGCGGAAUUCGUGGUGUAGCGGUGAAAUGCUUAGAUAUCACGAAGAACUCCGAUUGCGAAGGCAGCUUACUAAACUGCCACUGACAUUGAUGCUCGAAAGUGUGGGUAUCAAACAGGAUUAGAUACCCGAGUAGUC